rnacentral:rRNA from 1 species
UACGAAGGGGGGCUAGCGUUGUUCGGAAUUACUGGGCGUAAAGCGCACGUAGGCGGACUAUUAAGUCAGGGGGUGAAAUCCCGGGGCUCAACCCCCGGAACUGCCUUUGAUACUGGUAGUCUCGAGUCCGGAAGAGGUGAGUGGAAUUCCGAGUGUAGAGGUGAAAUUCGUAGAUAUUCGGAGGAACACCAGUGGCGAAGGCGGCUCACUGGUCCGGUACUGACGCUGAGGUGCGAAAGCGUGGGGGAGCAAACAGG